rnacentral:rRNA from 1 species
CGAAUUCGCCCUUCCUACGGGAGGCAGCAGUGGGGAAUAUUGGACAAUGGGCGAAAGCCUGAUCCAGCAAUGCCGCGUGAGUGAUGAAGGCCUUAGGGUUGUAAAGCUCUUUUACCCGGGAUGAUAAUGACAGUACCGGGAGAAUAAGCCCCGGCUAACUCCGUGCCAGCAGCCGCGGUAAUACGGAGGGGGCUAGCGUUGUUCGGAAUUACUGGGCGUAAAGCGCACGUAGGCGGCUUUGUAAGUUAGAGGUGAAAGCCCGGAGCUCAACUUCGGAAUUGCCCUUAAGACUGCAUCGCUUGAAUCAUGGAGAGGUCAGUGGAAUUCCGAGUGUAGAGGUGAAAUUCGUAGAUAUUCGGAAGAACACCAGUGGCGAAGGCGACUGACUGGACAUGUGUUGACGCUGAGGUGCGAAAGCGUGGGGAGCAAACAGGAUUAGAUACCCUAGUAGUCCACGCCGUAAACGAUGAUAACUAGCUGUCAGGGCUCUUAGAGCUUUGGUGGCGCAGCUAACGCGUUAAGUUAUCCGCCUGGGGAGUACGGCCGCAAGGUUAAAACUCAAAGGAAUUGACGG